AUGUACAUAAUCCUUGCAUAUUCAAGAAAUAUACAGAAACGAAAGUAAAAUUCUCCCACAAUCCUCUCACCCAGAGAUACAGCUCACGACAAGGGUUCUCUCUGUGCGUUUUUUCUAAAAAGUGUACUUUGGUUACUUUUUAAUUUCCAUAUGAAUACAGGAAGAAACUACUGCCCGUGCCCGUGUCAGGGUGCAAUGAUAUUCUUUCUAGAAAGUUCUGGCUUCCUGUGGAGGUUGCCGCACUCCAGGAAGCUGUGAUGGACCCAACUGAUCGCCCACAGCUCUCAAAACAGUGGUGGUGUCCCUUCCCCCGCCCCUUGCUGCAGCUGGGAGCUGGGACGGCAGCAAGCAGAACACACAGAAACAAGAAAACACCUUGCGGUCCCGGACGGACAGGCUGCUGAGAACUUCCGGGACAACAGUCCUUGCAAAGGCCAUGACUCCUCUCACUUCCCAUAGCUGGAAUAAGCAAAGACAUGCUGACAUAA